rnacentral:rRNA from 1 species
UGAGUAUUAGGCAAAUCCGGUACUCGUUAAGGCUGAGCUGUGAUGGGGAGAAGACAUUGUGUCUUCGAGUCGUUGAUUUCACACUGCCGAGAAAAGCCUCUAGAUAGAAAAUAGGUGCCCGUACCGCAAACCGACACAGGUAGUCAAGAUGAGAAUUCUAAGGUGAGCGAGCGAACUCUCGUUAAGGAACUCGGCAAAAUGACCCCGUAACUUCGGGAGAAGGGGUGCUCUUUAGGGUUAACGCCCAGAAGAGCCGCAGUGAAUAGGCCCAAGCGACUGUUUAUCAAAAACACAGGUCUCUGCUAAACCGUAAGGUGAUGUAUAGGGGCUGACGCCUGCCCGGUGCUGGAAGGUUAAGAGGAGUGGUUAGCUUCUGCGAAGCUACGAAUCGAAGCCCCAGUAAACGGCGGCCGUAACUAUAACGGUCCUAAGGUAGCGAAAUUCCUUGUCGGGUAAGUUCCGACCCGCACGAAAGGCGUAACGAUUUGGGCACUGUCUCAACGAGAGACUCGGUGAAAUCAUAGUACCUGUGAAGAUGCAGGUUACCCGCGACAGGACGGAAAGACCCCGUGGAGCUUUACUGUAGCCUGAUAUUGAAAUUCGGCACAGCUUGUACAGGAUAGGUAGGAGCCUUUGAAACGUGAGCGCUAGCUUACGUGGAGGCGCUGGUGGGAUACUACCCUAGCUGUGUUGGCUUUCUAACCCGCACCACUUAUCGUGGUGGGAGACAGUGUCAGGCGGGCAGUUUGACUGGGGCGGUCGCCUCCUAAAAGGUAACGGAGGCGCUCAAAGGUUCCCUCAGAAUGGUUGGAAAUCAUUCAUAGAGUGUAAAGGCAUAAGGGAGCUUGACUGCGAGACCUACAAGUCGAG